rnacentral:rRNA from 1 species
AGCGGGGGACAACAUUUGGAAACGAAUGCUAAUACCGCAUAACAACUUUAAACACAAGUUUUAAGUUUGAAAGAUGCAAUUGCAUCACUCAAAGAUGAUCCCGCGUUGUAUUAGCUAGUUGGUGAGGUAAAGGCUCACCAAGGCGAUGAUACAUAGCCGACCUGAGAGGGUGAUCGGCCACAUUGGGACUGAGACACGGCCCAAACUCCUACGGGAGGCAGCAGUAGGGAAUCUUCGGCAAUGGACGAAAGUCUGACCGAGCAACGCCGCGUGAGUGAAGAAGGUUUUCGGAUCGUAAAACUCUGUUGGUAGAGAAGAACGUUGGUGAGAGUGGAAAGCUCAUCAAGUGACGGUAACUACCCAGAAAGGGACGGCUAACUACGUGCCAGCAGCCGCGGUAAUACGUAGGUCCCGAGCGUUGUCCGGAUUUAUUGGGCGUAAAGCGAGCGCAGGUGGUUUAUUAAGUCUGGUGUAAAAGGCAGUGGCUCAACCAUUGUAUGCAUUGGAAACUGGUAGACUUGAGUGCAGGAGAGGAGAGUGGAAUUCCAUGUGUAGCGGUGAAAUGCGUAGAUAUAUGGAGGAACACCGGUGGCGAAAGCGGCUCUCUGGCCUGUAACUGACACUGAGGCUCGAAAGCGUGGGGAGCAAACAGGAUUAGAUACCCUGGUAGUCCACGCCAUAAACGAUGAGUGCUAGAUGUAGGGAGCUAUAAGUUCUCUGUAUCGCAGCUAACGCAAU